UCCUCCUAAAGAGUAACGGAGGAGCACGAAGGUUGGCUAAUCCUGGUCGGACAUCAGGAGGUUAGUGCAAUGGCAUAAGCCAGCUUGACUGCGAGCGUGACGGCGCGAGCAGGUGCGAAAGCAGGUCAUAGUGAUCCGGUGGUUCUGAAUGGAAGGGCCAUCGCUCAACGGAUAAAAGGUACUCCGGGGAUAACAGGCUGAUACCGCCCAAGAGUUCAUAUCGACGGCGGUGUUUGGCACCUCGAUGUCGGCUCAUCACAUCCUGGGGCUGAAGUAGGUCCCAAGGGUAUGGCUGUUCGCCAUUUAAAGUGGUACGCGAGCUGGGUUUAGAACGUCGUGAGACAGUUCGGUCCCUAUCUGCCGUGGGCGCUGGAGAACUGAGGGGGGCUGCUCCUAGUACGAGAGGACCGGAGUGGACGCAUCACUGGUGUUCGGGUUGUCAUGCCAAUGGCACUGCCCGGUAGCUAAAUGCGGAAGAGAUAAGUGCUGAAAGCAUCUAAGCACGAAACUUGCCCCGAGAUGAGUUCUCCCUGACCCUUUAAGGGUCCUGAAGGAACGUUGAAGACGACGACGUUGAUAGGCCGGGUGUGUAAGCGCAGCGAUGCGUUGAGCUAACCGGUACUAAUGAACCGUGAG
rnacentral:rRNA from 1 species